rnacentral:rRNA from 1 species
UACAGAGGUCUCAAGCGUUGUUCGGAUUCAUUGGGCGUAAAGGGUGCGUAGGUGGCGCCGUAAGUCAGGUGUGAAAUUUCGGAGCUUAACUCCGAAACUGCAUUUGAUACUGCGGUGCUUGAGGACUGGAGAGGAGACUGGAAUUCUCGGUGUAGAGGUGAAAUUCGUAGAUAUCGAGAGGAACACCGGUGGCGAAGGCGGCCAACUGGACGAAUACUGACGCUGAGACACGAAAGCGUGGGGAGCAAACAGG